GAUUGAGACGAGACUUAGAUUCGUAUCCCUAUUGGUUUGAAAGUGGUGAGAUGGCAAAAUUAUGUAUUAGCUCUAUCUGAUCAUUC